UAGGCGGAUAGGAACCAAAUCGACCCUCAAUGGUCGUUUUGGGCCGAUAACCCGCCAAAAUAAAUAGGUGUUUGACGGUCGCGUUCUAGUCCGGUCCAUGGAUAGUAUGCAAUUCAAAUCAGCACGACAUUCAACU
rfam:Bursaphelenchus xylophilus, Ka4C1 (inbred line), WGS project CADV01000000 data, contig: scaffold01518.39